CCAUCUUUCCACUUAUUUCCCAGCAUCCUCCCGAAGUAUCCGCCAUAGCAACUGGACGCUUCCUUGUUUUAACCUAAUUCUUGUUGUGCUCAAUUUUAUCUGUUUUCUUGAAGCUUUACAAAUUAUAAUUAGUCUAAGUGCAUCUAGUUUCAUUGUGUGGGAUUUGUAAAUGAUUUUUGCUGUGCUAAUGUUAUCAUUUAAUGGCUGCUUUUACUGCUUAUUUGUUCUUUCCUUUUUUGCUGAUGCUUCAUGAAUUUGUUGUGCCCAGCCUUUUAUGUAUGUGCGAAUCGCUUUUACGUAAAUGUGUGUGUGCGUGUGUGUGUAUGAUAGCAAAUUAUAUCAACUAUAGUCAGUGCGACGUGCAACUUAAUUUUAUGACGUCAGAAUUCGUCCAAACAUCCAUCAUACGUAUUUAAUUCUGACUCCAAUGUAGGUCUGUGUUUGGCCAGACUUGAGAAAAUAUACUUAUCCAAAAUAUGAGACUAAUAUAUUAACCUUGUGCUGAAGAAAUUAAUUUUCAAUUUUAGAAUUAUUUAAAUUAACAUGCAGUUUCGUCUCAUGUGCACAUUGAUGGUUAAUUUGGGUAGGACCAAAAGACUAGUGCGCCUAAAACAAUGAGUGUCAAAAUGUGACAGAUGCCGAACGACAGCUCAGAAGAGAUCUUCGCGAAUAAGGGAAGAGACGAAUUUUGGAACCGAGCUGUUUUCUUAGCACGUGUUAGAUCCCAUGAACUCCCUGAUGGUUACAUCUCCGAUAUAUACAAUUUGCUGCGUCUGUGUGAGAGGCAGUUCGAACAGAUCCAAGUCAGCAACGCAAAAUGCUGCCGGAGAACGAAGGGAAGAAAUGCGGCGAACGAGGGAAGAAAUUCAAACAAGUAAAUAAAGAUGGGAACGAUGAAAAUAAUAGGAAACACCAAGGAGGCGACAAGAUGAAAAUGCAGAAUGCACUGGUUCAACACUUCAUACUCGAGCCAACAUAGUUCCGGAUAAUGGUUCUCCUCUCAUCGAAACAGGGAUGCCAAUCAACCACACGCACUACUGCCACUGACAAUGAAAAGUAAACAAGCUUCUCUUUAUAAUCCCACUUUGAUACACCAUUAAUUUAUGUACGCCUUGUAAGUCAUUAUCACACACAGCCAUCUCUCUCUUUAUAGACGGUACCCACUUGCUUGUAAGCUCAGCAUUAAAACUGACUGCAGAAACAACAAUUAUCAAAGUAAGGGGCACUUACCUGCGACUUCCUGCUUCUGUAUUACGCAGAAUCCUCUAGCCAUCGGUCAUGCCACUUGCCGAUCGUGAUGCAGAGCCUACCAGUCUGUCCCUAGGACAGCAAAUACGACAAAAUAUGCUUCUUACUAAGCUGUUGUCAUUAUUUACAAGGAAACAUAUUCUCAUGUCCUUGUCUGCCUCCCUUAGU